rnacentral:rRNA from 1 species
AGCAGUGGGGAAUAUUGCACAAUGGGCGCAAGCCUGAUGCAGCCAUGCCGCGUGUAUGAAGAAGGCCUUCGGGUUGUAAAGUACUUUCAGUCGUGAGGAAGGCAUUAACGUUAAUAGCGUUAGUGUUUGACGUUAGCGACAGAAGAAGCACCGGCUAACUCCGUGCCAGCAGCCGCGGUAAUACGGAGGGUGCGAGCGUUAAUCGGAAUUACUGGGCGUAAAGCGCAUGCAGGUGGUUUGUUAAGUCAGAUGUGAAAGCCCGGGGCUCAACCUCGGAACCGCAUUUGAAACUGGCAGGCUAGAGUACUGUAGAGGGGGGUAGAAUUUCAGGUGUAGCGGUGAAAUGCGUAGAGAUCUGAAGGAAUACCAGUGGCGAAGGCGGCCCCCUGGACAGAUACUGACACUCAGAUGCGAAAGCGUGGGGAGCAAACAGGAUUAGAUACCCUGGUAGUCCACGCCGUAAACGAUGUCUACUUGGAGGUUGUGGCCUUGAGCCGUGGCUUUCGGAGCUAACGCGUUAAGUAGACCGCCUGGGGAGUACGGUCGCAAGAUUAAAACUCAAAUGAAUUGACGGGGGCCCGCACAAGCGGUGGAGCAUGUGGUUUAAUUCGAUGCAACGCGAAGAACCUUACCUACUCUUGACAUCCAGAGAACUUUCCAGAGAUGGAUUGGUGCCUUCGGGAACUCUGAGACAGGUGC